rnacentral:miRNA from 1 species
CACACACACACAUAUAUACAUAUCUAUAUCUAUAUCUAUAUAUCUAUAUAUAUAUGUGUGUGUGUGUGUGUGUGUGUG